rnacentral:rRNA from 1 species
CAGCAGCCGCGGGAAUACGAGGGGGGCAAGCGUUGUUCGGAAUUAUUGGGCGUAAAGGGCGCGUAGGCGGUUUGACAAGUCUUAUGUGAAAUCUUCGGGCUCAACUCGAAGUCUGCAUGGGAAACUGUCGGGCUUGAGUAUGGGAGAGGUGAGUGGAAUUUCCGGUGUAGCGGUGAAAUGCGUAGAUAUCGGAAGGAACACCUGUGGCGAAAGCGGCUCACUGGACCAUAACUGACGCUGAGGCACGAAAGCUAGGGGAGCAAACAGGAUUAGAGACCCCAGUAGUCCCUGUCUCUUAUAC